AAGCAUCAGGUAACAUCAAAUCGUACCCCAAACCGACACAGGUGGUCAGGUAGAGAAUACCAAGGCGCUUGAGAGAACUCGGGUGAAGGAACUAGGCAAAAUGGUGCCGUAACUUCGGGAGAAGGCACGCUGAUAUGUAGGUGAAGUCCCUCGCGGAUGGAGCUGAAAUCAGUCGAAGAUACCAGCUGGCUGCAACUGUUUAUUAAAAACACAGCACUGUGCAAACACGAAAGUGGACGUAUACGGUGUGACGCCUGCCCGGUGCCGGAAGGUUAAUUGAUGGGGUCAGCGCAAGCGAAGCUCUUGAUCGAAGCCCCGGUAAACGGCGGCCGUAACUAUAACGGUCCUAAGGUAGCGAAAUUCCUUGUCGGGUAAGUUCCGACCUGCACGAAUGGCGUAAUGAUGGCCAGGCUGUCUCCACCCGAGACUCAGUGAAAUUGAACUCGCUGUGAAGAUGCAGUGUACCCGCGGCAAGACGGAAAGACCCCGUGAACCUUUACUAUAGCUUGACACUGAACAUUGAGCCUUGAUGUGUAGGAUAGGUGGGAGGCUUUGAAGUGUGGACGCCAGUCUGCAUGGAGCCGACCUUGAAAUACCACCCUUUAAUGUUUGAUGUUCUAACGUGGACCCGUGAUCCGGGUUGCGGACAGUGUCUGGUGGGUAGUUUGACUGGGGCGGUCUCCUCCUAAAGAGUAACGGAGGAGCACGAAGGUUGGCUAAUCCUGGUCGGACAUCAGGAGGUUAGUGCAAUGGCAUAAGCCAGCUUGACUGCGAGCGUGACGGCGCGAGCAGGUGCGAAAGCAGGUCAUAGUGAUCCGGUGGUUCUGAAUGGAAGGGCCAUCGCUCAACGGAUAAAAGGUACUCCGGGGAUAACAGGCUGAUACCGCCCAAGAGUUCAUAUCGACGGCGGUGUUUGGCACCUCGAUGUCGGCUCAUCACAUCCUGGGGCUGAAGUAGGUCCCAAGGGUAUGGCUGUUCGCCAUUUAAAGUGGUACGCGAGCUGGGUUUAGAACGUCGUGAGACAGUUCGGUCCCUAUCUGCCGUGGGCGCUGGAGAACUGAGGGGGGCUGCUCCUAGUACGAGAGGACCGGAGUGGACGCAUCACUGGUGUUCGGGUUGUCAUGCCAAUGGCACUGCCCGGUAGCUAAAUGCGGAAGAGAUAAGUGCUGAAAGCAUCUAAGCACGAAACUUGCCCCGAGAUGAGUUCUCCCUGACCCUUUAAGGGUCCUGAAGGAACGUUGAAGACGACGACGUUGAUAGGCCGGGUGUGUAAGCGCAGCGAUGCGUUGAGCUAACCGGUACUAAUGAACCGUGAGGCUUAACCUU
rnacentral:rRNA from 1 species